UACGAAGGGGGCUAGCGUUGCUCGGAAUCACUGGGCGUAAAGCGCACGUAGGCGGAUUUCUAAGUCAGGUGUGAAAUCCUGGAGCUCAACUCCAGAACUGCCUUUGAUACUGUGAAUCUCGAGUCCGGGAGAGGUGAGUGGAACUGCGAGUGUAGAGGUGAAAUUCGUAGAUAUUCGCAAGAACACCAGUGGCGAAGGCGGCUCACUGGCCCGGUACUGACGCUGAGGUGCGAAAGCGUGGGGAGCAAACAGG
rnacentral:rRNA from 1 species